rnacentral:lncRNA from 1 species
UUCUGUAUGUUGUCCUAUUGUAUGAUUAUUUUACAAAUCGUAGAAGGUAAAACCGCUGCACAGUUACCUGACUCAUUGGCUUGUUUUCAUUAUAUAAUAAUUUGAAUUAGCUAGUUAUUUUGCACUUGUUAAUUGUUCAUGACAUCGUACUUCUUGUUAAUAGGCUACAAUUUGUGUUUACAUGUUUCCUGUUAGUUAUAAUUGACAAUCGAUUUACUUUGAUUUCAUAUACUAGUCCUUAUUUUACGUGAACCAAUUAUAGGACCUUCCUUUUGUUAGUUAUAAUUUUACUGAUGUUUACUAUGUGCAGAAUUUUAUGUAACAAAUUUUGACUGUUUAAAAUAGAGUAACUUGCCUUUGUUUAUCGUGAUUUUUAAAUGCUUAUCAUAUCUAAUAGGUGGUCCUUCAACAAAACAAGUAAAAAUAAGUCCCCAAAUUGGUUAUGAUUCUAGUUCACAAUCGGAUUUAGAUUGCAAAUCAGGAUAUUUGAUUUGAUUUUAAUUUACAAUGAUUUGAAUAUUUAGUUUAAUUAAAAUGUUUGAUAAUAUGUAAUGAUGAAUUAUUUGAUGAUGUGUUAUUUGAAGAUGUGUUGAUAUAAAGAUGUGCUAUUUGAAGAUGUGUGUUUUAAAGAUGUGUUAUAUAAGCUGCAAAUGUCAGUCUAAGUUGUGAAGUUGUAAGAUGUUGAUCCAAAGUAUUGGAGUCUUAAAUUAUUGACGUUGUCUAAGUUGU